GCGGCGAUCGCAUAGCCUGGUAUUGCGCCGGAUUUGAAAUCCGGUGUCUGAUGACUCGGGGGUUCGAAUCCCUCUCGCCGCGCCA
rnacentral:tRNA from 1 species